CCCUGUUGCGGUGGGCAUCAUGGAGGAGCUUGAGGCCCAGAGCGAGGUGUGGAACCACAUUUUUAGAUUCAUCACCUCCAUGUCCGUCAAGUGCGAGGUGGAGCUCAGGGUCCCCGACGCCAUCCACGCCCACGGCGGCAACGCAACUCUCCCUCAGCUGGCCGCCGCCCUCAGCCUCCCUCCCGCCAAGCUCGCCGACCUCCGACGCCUCAUGCGCAUGCUGGUCCACGCCGGCUGCUUCGCCAAGCAGGAAGACGACGUGUACGCCCUCACGCCAUGGUCGAGGAUCCUGGUGAGCUCCGAGCACACCUCGGUGGCCCCGUUCGUGGUGUGGAUGCUCCACCCGCUCAUGGUCCAGUCGUGGCA
rnacentral:lncRNA from 1 species